CCUGGCAGCUCCACCCUCGGCCUUCACGGCCCUCACCAGGCAGCCCUCUGCCUGCCUCUCUGGUUUCAUGUCACAUACCUCCUCCUAAUUGUUGCUGCCAUCAUGCGGGGGGAUUCUGGGCAUAACUCUCCAUCUGUAGGUGUUUGGGACGAUCCCUUGAACUAUUAGCUCCUGAUUCUGCCGGGUCAGGCAGGCCCUCAGCCUGCCCCCUUAUCUUUCUCUCCAAGAGGCCCUCGGAAGAGGAAGGCAGCUGAUCUUUAGGAGAAUAACGAAAGGGUCAGAAGACCUUCCAUCUUGCUUGAAGGGAAAUACGUGAAGCCUGAAGAAACUCGAAAGCACAUGCCUGCUCCCUUACCUCUCCUCCAUCCUGGGACCACAGGCCCAGCACCGCCAGGACUGCUAGAGUCUCACCUCCAAGCAGAGGGUUGAAAGCACUGAGUUAUUUCAAGAGGAUCUGAAGAUGGAGAAACAGCAACGCGGGUGCUCAUGCCAUCAUCCUGAACCAGACUCCUCCCCUUGGUUUUUAGUCCUCCAAUGCACGCUGCAGUGUCUAAGUAUCUUCUUCUUUCCUUCUAAUUCUGGAUGCCUUGAGAUUGCUUCCCUAUCCAUCACCUUUAAUUCUCCCUCUUGUUACCAAUAAAAUCAGGAAUGGCAUCUGC